rnacentral:rRNA from 1 species
GAGCGGAUGAACUGAGGGUAGCGGAGAAAUUCCAAUCGAACCUGGAGAUAGCUGGUUCUCUCCGAAAUAGCUUUAGGGCUAGCCUCAAGUGAUGAUUAUUGGAGGUAGAGCACUGUUUGGACGAGGGGCCCCUCUCGGGUUACCGAAUUCAGACAAACUCCGAAUGCCAAUUAAUUUAACUUGGGAGUCAGAACAUGGGUGAUAAGGUCCGUGUUCGAAAGGGAAACAGCCCAGACCACCAGCUAAGGUCCCAAAAUAUAUGUUAAGUGGAAAAGGAUGUGGCGUUGCCCAGACAACUAGGAUGUUGGCUUAGAAGCAGCCAUCAUUUAAAGAGUGCGUAAUAGCUCACUAGUCGAGUGACACUGCGCCGAAAAUGUACCGGGGCUAAACAUAUUACCGAAGCUGUGGAUUGUCCUUUGGACAAUGGUAGGAGAGCGUUCUAAGGGCGUUGAAGCAUGAUCGUAAGGACAUGUGGAGCGCUUAGAAG